rnacentral:misc_RNA from 1 species
CACAAAUAUGAAGGCGGGCUGGAACCUCUCGGGGUUACAGCCUUGCUGAAUUAUUCACCCUUGUCUUUUGCGUACUUCUCGUUUCCUUGGUGGGUUCGCCCACCACUAGGACAAACAUAAACCUUUUGUAAUUGCAAUCAGCGUCAGUAACAAAUUAAUAAUUA